GGGUGUGACCCAACCCCCCCCCUCCAAAAAAAAAAAAAAAAAAAACAAAGAUUAGCAUGGUCCCUGAGCAAGGAUGACACGCAAAUUUGUGAAGCAUUCUAUACUUAA